AACGCUAGCUACAGGCUUAACACAUGCAAGUCGAGGGGCAGCGCAGUGUAGCAAUACACGGGCGGCGACCGGCGCACGGGUGCGUAACGCGUAUCCAACCUUCCCGUUACUCAGGGAUAGCCUUCCGAAAGGGAGAUUAAUACCUGAUGGUGUUGAAAUUCCGCAUGUUAUUUCAACUAAAGAUUUAUCGGUAACGGAUGGGGAUGCGUGACAUUAGAUAGUAGGCGGGGUAACGGCCCACCUAGUCUACGAUGUCUAGGGGUUCUGAGAGGAAGGUCCCCCACACUGGAACUGAGACACGGUCCAGACUCCUACGGGAGGCAGCAGUGAGGAAUAUUGGUCAAUGGUCGGAAGACUGAACCAGCCAAGUAGCGUGAAGGAUGAAGGUUCUAUGGAUUGUAAACUUCUUUUAUACGGGAAUAAAACCUCCCACGUGUGGGAGCUUGUAUGUACCGUAUGAAUAAGCAUCGGCUAACUCCGUGCCAGCAGCCGCGGUAAUACGGAGGAUGCGAGCGUUAUCCGGAUUUAUUGGGUUUAAAGGGAGCGUAGACGGGAGAUUAAGUCAGUUGUGAAAGGCUGCGGCUCAACCGCAGCACUGCAGUUGAUACUGGUUUCCUUGAGUUCGGUUGAGGUGUAUGGAAUUCGUGGUGUAGCGGUGAAAUGCUUAGAUAUCACGAAGAACUCCGAUUG
rnacentral:rRNA from 1 species